rnacentral:tRNA from 1 species
CGAGGUGUCGGGAAGCUCAAUAACUGAUUUGGGAUCAGAGGGUCGAAGGUUCGAAUCCUUUCGCUCCGACCA